rnacentral:rRNA from 1 species
GUUGAACAAAAUCAAAACAUUUGGUGGAUACCUAGGCACUCAGAGUUGAUGAAGGGCGUGGGCAACUGCGAAAAGCUCCGACGAGUUGAGCACAAACGUUGACUCGGAGAUUCCCGAAUAGGGCAACCUCAUAGUACCUUUUCUUAAAUUCAUAAUAGAAAUAGGAAGUAACCUAGCGAACUGAAACAUCUUAGUAGCUAGAGGAAUAGAAAGCAAAAGCGAUUUCCAAAGUAGUGGUGAGCGAAAUGGAAACAGCCUAAACCAAUAAAAAUUUAUUGGGGUCGUGGGAAAAACUGAAAAAAGGACAAAAUAAGGAAUUAGUGAAACAAUUGAAUGUUGUACCGUAGACGGUGAAAGUCCAGUAACUGAACUUAAAAAUCCUUUGGUUUUAUCCCGAGUAGCAUGGGACCCGUGAAAUCCCGUGUGAAUCCACGAGGACCACCUCGUAAGGCUAAAUAUUCCUGAGUGACCGAUAGCGUAUAAGUACCGCGAGGGAAAGGUGAAAAGAACCCCAGUAGGGGAGUGAAAUAGAACAUGAAACCAUAUGUUGACAAUCAGUGGGAGGAGUUUUACUCUGACCGCGUGCCUGUCGAAGAAUGAGCCGGCGAGUUAUAUGUAGUGGCAGGUUAAAAAGGAUCUUUGAAGCCUCAGCGAAAGCAAGUCUGAACAGGGCGUUAAGUCACUAUAUAUAGACCCGAACCCGGAUGAUCUAACCAUGACCAGGAUGAAACUUCAGUAACAUGCAGUGAAGGUCCGAACCGACCGAUGUUGAAAAAUCGGCGGAUGAGUUGUGGUUAGGGGUGAAAUGCCAAUCGAAUCCGGAGCUAGCUGGUUCUCCCCGAAAUGUGUUGAGGCGCAGCGCUCAAUAAUGGGCUUUCUAGGGGUAAAGCACUGUAUCGGUGCGGGCCGGGAGACUGGUACCAAAUCGUAGCAAACUAAGAAUACUAGAAAUGCUUUCUAUUGAGCAGUGAGACAGUGGGGGAUAAGCUCCAUUGUCGAGAGGGAAACAGCCCAGAUCACCAGCUAAGGCCCCUAAAUGAAUCCUAAGUGUUAAAGGAGGUGAAGAUGCAUAAACAGCCAGAAGGUUUGCUUAGAAGCAGCCAUCCUUUAAAGAGUGCGUAACAGCUCACUGGUCGAGCGUCUUUGCGCCGAAAAUGGACGGGACUAAGGAUUCUGCCGAAGCUGUGAAAGAAUACCAUAUUCUUGGUAGGGGAGCGUUCUGCUAUAGGGUGAAGUCCUUUCGUGAGAAAGGGUGGACGAAGCAGAAGUGAGAAUGUCGGCUUGAGUAGCGAAAACAUCGGUGAGAAUCCGAUGCCCCGAAAACCUAAGGGUUCCUCCACAAGGCUCGUCCAUGGGGGGUUAGUCAGGACCUAAGAUCAGGCCGAAAGGCGUAGUCGAUGGCAAACAGGUCAAUAUUCCUGUACUCAAUUUUUAUUAGCACUGGGGGACGAAGUCGUUUGAAGUGCAGCCGACGAAAAAAGGCUGAAUUACACUGAGACUUCCAAGAAAAUCCCAUCCUGCAAUCAAUAAAAAUUGACCUGUACCACAAACUGACACAAGUGGGUAGGUCGAGAAGACCAAGGGGCGCGAGAUAACUCUCUCUAAGGAACUCGGCAAAAUGGCCCCGUAACUUCGGGAGAAGGGGUACCUAUUUAUAGGUCGCAGUGACCAGACCCAGGCAACUGUUUAUCAAAAACACAGGUCUCCGCUAAUUCGAAAGAUGAUGUAUGGGGGCUGACGCCUGCCCAGUGCUGGAAGGUUAAGGAAGUUGGUUAGCGUAUGCGAAGCUAGCGACUGAAGCCCCAGUGAACGGCGGCCGUAACUAUAACGGUCCUAAGGUAGCGAAAUUCCUUGUCGGGUAAGUUCCGACCCGCACGAAAGGCGUAAUGAUCUGGGUACUGUCUCGGAGAGAGACUCGGCGAAAUAGAAAUGUCUGUGAAGAUGCGGACUACAUACACCUGGACAGAAAGACCCUAUGAAGCUUUACUAUAACUUGGCAUUGGGUUCGGGCUUGGUUUGCGCAGGAUAAGUGGGAGGCGUUGAAUUUUUCCUUCCGGGGAAGAAGGAGCCAACGGUGAGAUACCACUCUAAUCAAGCUAGACCCCUAACUCUAAACCUUCAACAGGUUAGAGAACAGUGUCAGGCGGGUAGUUUUUCUGGGGCGGAAGCCUCCUAAAAGGUAACGGAGGCGUGCAAAGGUUCCCUCAAGCUGGACGGAAAUCAGCUGUAGAGUGUAAAGGCAGAAGGGAGCUUGACUGCGAGACCUACAAGUCGAGCAGGGACGAAAGUCGGCCUUAGUGAUCCGACGGUUCCGAGUGGAAGGGCCGUCGCUCAACGGAUAAAAGUUACUCUAGGGAUAACAGGCUAAUCUCCCUCAAGAGUUCACAUCGACAGGGAGGUUUGGCACCUCGAUGUCGGCUUAUCGCAACCUGGGGCGGAAGGGCGUCCCAAGGGUUGGGCUGUUCGCCCAUGAAAGCGGUACAUGAGCUGGGUUCAGAACGUCGUGAGACAGUUUGGUCCAUAUCCGGUGUAUGCGUUAGAGUAUUGAGAAGAGCCUUCCUUUGUACGAGAGGACCGGGGAGGACAAACCUCUGGUGUACCAGUUCUUUAAAAGGGAAACGCUGGGUAGCCAUGUUUGGUUCGGAUAACCGCUGAAAGCAUCUAAGUGGGAAGCCAACUUCAAGAUGAGUACUCUCUUUAUAAGACCACAGCAAGACUAGCUGUUUGAUAGGUAUCAAGUGUAAGCCGGGUAAUCGGUGUAGCUGAGAUAUACUAAUAGGUCGAACGAGUUUGAC